rnacentral:rRNA from 1 species
CCUACGGGAGGCAGCAGUGAGGAAUAUUGGUCAAUGGCCGCAGGGCUGAACCAGCCAAGUCGCGUGAGGGAUGACGGUCCUAUGGAUUGUAAACCUCUUUUGUCAGGGAGCAAAGGGCGCCACGUGUGGCGCUUUGCGAGUACCUGAAGCAAACGCAUCGGCUAACUCAGUGCCAGCAGCCGCGGUACUACGGAGGAUGCGAGCGUUAUCCGGAUUUAUUGGGUUUAAAGGGUGCGCAGGCGGAAUGUCAAGUCAGCGGUAAAAUUUCGGGGCUCAACCCCGUCGUGCCGUUGAAACUGGCGUGCUUGAGGGAGCGAGAAGGAGGAGGAAUGCGGGGUGUAGCGGUGAAAUGCAUAGAGAUCACGCAGAACUCCGAUGGCGAAGGCAGCAUACCGGCGCUCAACUGACGCUCAUGCACGAAAGCGUGGGUAUCGAACAGGAUUAGAUACCCCAGUAGUC